rnacentral:lncRNA from 1 species
GUUGACACGCCAUUGGAUGCAACUGUUAGGCAUAUGCAUGUCCUGCAGAUGGCCAAUGAUGAUCUACAGGAGGAGCUACGUGAUCAGCAGGAUUCCAUAGAUCGCUUCCAGGAGAUGGUGGACAGCCUUAGAGAGCAGCUUGAGUUGCCACCGCUCUACAAGAAGAAGACCGCACCUCCUAGCAUCUCCGGCGACGCACCAUAGGCCUAGGAUGCCAUAGUUGUUUUAUUUCGUAGUCUCGUUGUGUCAGUUGAGUUUGGAGUGCUUGUGAACAAUUGAUGUGUCCG